GGGGGUGUCAUAUUUACCAAACACCCCCCUUGUAUACGCCACUGGUUUCCAGUGUGACUCGCUUUUUCAAUGAUCAUUAACAAAUAACAAGGACAAGUAAAACAAGCGUAUGGACUGAAUUUUGAAAAUUUAUGCUUCUCACAUGGAUAACUGUGUGUGGCCUAUAGUAUACUCACGUGUCAAAUUGUGUACACAAUACAAAAGGAAAAACAAAAAAAUAUUGUAUAAUCCACAUACACUUUAAUAAAUAGCAUUUAUUUAGAACCUCGAACUGUCAGACUUUUCUCAAUAAAAUGAAUAAAUAAAAUAAUAAUAAUCCAAAAUAAGAAGGUAUAGGUUCAACGGUAACACCCAAAAAGAAUUGAACACUCAAAAUUUUCUCAACGGACAACGUCAGGUAUAACUCACUUAUUGAUCAUCGCUACAUCUCAAAACUAUAUGAACUUGAAAUUUGAAAUGGUGGUCUCUCCAAUAUACAAAACAUGCAAUAAGAAGGGAUUUUAAAAAAAUAUUGGAACCAGCAAAUACGGAAAUUCAGAGGUAUCACCAAAAUUACUAUACUGAUUCAUUUGAACUUUCAUUUUAUUUGUUUUAUAACCACCAAUAGUUAUACCGAACUUGGCUUUAAUUAGUGUAAAGUAAUAAAACCUAUGUCACGGCCAAGAAUUUUCCGUGCGAAGCCGGUUAUCACUGUUGAUGUCGACCCGGAUUUAAAAUCAAAUUAGUUCGCCGAAAUGCCCAAAUAUACGGAGUCGAUGCAGAAAUCGACUUCCGUGUAGGCGAUUGUUUCAACAUUUUAGACCGGGUUCGUGCAGAUGCAGUGGUGACAUCGCCGCCGUGGGGCGGACCCGGCUAUUCCAGACAUUUCGACGCGAAUGAUCUGUGUAGCCGGGAAGCGGGUGGCAUGUCAAGCAUCCUCAGUAUGGCAAGGAAAAUCGCUCCUCGAACUGUACUACACGUGCCGAAGACCGUUGACUGAGAACAGUGUUUACACUUAUCGAGAAACGCAAACUUCGGCCGUGUAGAGUUUGAGGACGUGAUGAUCGAUGAACGGCAGAAUUGCACAAAUAUAUAUUUGAAAUUGCGACAGGAUAACAGGCGACUCGGACCUGCUGUCACUACAAAUUGGAAUUGGACACCGAAUAUAAAAAUCGGUGGUGACGUUCUAAUAGCCUUAAUACAUAUUCCACCUAUUUGGAGAAAACUACACAAUUUUUGAACUCCAAAUAACUGACUUCUGGGACAUUUUUCCAAUAUUUUUUUGUUUCUAUUUUUUUUCUUAAUUUUUUU